rnacentral:rRNA from 1 species
ACAAUUAGCUGUUGGGACACUAGAUGUCUUAGUAGCGAAGCUAACGCGUGAAAUUGUCCGCCUGGGGAGUACGGUCGCAAGAUUAAAACUCAAAGGAAUUGACGGGGACCCGCACAAGCGGUGGAUGAUGUGGAUUAAUUCGAUGCAACGCGAAGAACCUUACCUGGUCUUGACAUGUACGGAAUCUCUUAGAGAUAGGAGAGUGCCUUCGGGAACCGUAACACAGGUGCUGCAUGGCUGUCGUCAGCUCGUGUCGUGAGAUGUUGGGUUAAGUCCCGCAACGAGCGCAACCCUUGUCAUUAGUUGCCAUCAUUAAGUUGGGCACUCUAAUGAGACUGCCGGUGAUAUGCCGGAGGAAGGUGGGGAUGACGUCAAGUCCUCAUGGCCCUUAUGACCAGGGCUUCACACGUCAUACAAUGGUCGGUACAGAGGGUAGCGAAGCCGCGAGGUGAAGCCAAUCUCAGAAAGCCGGUCGUAGUCCGGAUUGCACUCUGCAACUCGAGUGCAUGAAGUCGGAAUCGCUAGUAAUCGCAGGUCAGCAUACUGCGGUGAAUACGUUCCCGGGUCU